rnacentral:lncRNA from 1 species
UUCUAUAAUCUUUGUCAAACUUUCAAAUGGUUGACUUGCACGAAAACCCAUACAUCUUAUAUUCUGGAAUGGAGGGAGAGUACUUCCUAAAAAAGGCAAGCAAUGGACUGGUAAUAGGUAGGCCUGUUUUAGAGAGAUUGUGGUAUACUACAAUUCAUUAUUACAUGCAAAAUGUUUUUGCUUCGGAGCAGAACAUUUAUCUAUCUCUAUCUUCAUAUCUUUUUCUUCUCAGAGCUGGAGUGUGAUGCCUUGCUCCUAUUCAUGGAUCUUAACCUAUAAUUUUUGAACAAUCUAACUUAGUUAUUCAUUCAAUGGGAAAUCUGAAGUGGGGAUUACUUCGCCAAUAUCAUUAGCAAGUUUAUGAGGGAAAAGAAAGCGAUAUAACUUCCAAAAGAAAACGUAAGAAUAAAGUACAUAGAAUUGUAGCUGGGAAAGUAGGAACAUGAGAUGCACCAUGUUUCAGAAAAAUGGUUGAGGUUCCCUGAUCCUAGUAACAUGAGCUGAGAUUAUUUUGUCACGGACCCAUGGUCAUGGCUGUAUAUAAUUUUCACAAGCAACAAACCCUAUGUGACAACCUACUUUCGAUCAAAACGCUAUAUAAUCUAUAUAAUAGACAAAAAUGGAGCCUUCGAUAACUUAAAUACCUAUUUUUCCUACCAUAGUGUGAUGAGCUGUGAAACUGCACAUAUAGGGAUUUUCAUGGGACCAUUCAGGACUUUGAAAAAAGAUAUAAAAACUGCAUUCAGCUCCUCCAUCUAAGGCUACCUCAAUAAUAAACCAAUACUUCAUGAUAGAAUAAUCUGAAAAUCAUAUAUGAUAACAAUGCAAAAUAAUCUUGCAGCACCUCCUAAAACUGUAAAAGCCGUGAAAUUGGCAGUCAACUUACUAUCAACGGGAAACACCACACUACAAUAACAAUGCAAAAUAAUCUUGCAGCUCCUCCUAAAACUAUAAAAGCUGUGAAAUUGGCAGUCAACUUACUAUCAACGGGAAACACCACACUGCACUAUAUUUUUUCAGGAACAAGAUGCUAAUAUGCUUUCCCGUUCCCCACUUCAAGGAUGCACGCCGUCUCCCCAUUCUCCACCGCCAAGACGCCGGCGUGUCCCUGUUCUCCAUCGCCAGGACGCCCAACUCCUCCCCUAUCUCCACCACAAGGACGUUGGGUGCCUCUUCGUUAUCCAUCCUAAGCACCGCAUUGUGGUCGUCUAGCAAUGUAUUGUUGAGGCAACUGCUUCUCAUUGCCCCCUCUCUUAAUUUUUCGUAGCACACACCCCUUGUUAUUCUACACCUAGGAUGGUUGUUCUUGUAGAUUUUGCUGACCACCAUAUUCUACAGUAAUUAGUAUGGUUGCAGUCCAAUGGGUUGAUUUUCAGCAGACCAAUGUGUUGAUUGACUAAUUUUGUGCAUCAAAAACAGUAGGGCAGUGUUGAUGAAACAAUUUUGGUUAGUAAAAAACAGAGUGUGUGACAAUACUAUAAAAGCGCUAGUCUCCAAAGUCCACCAUGCCGCAAAAACAUUUAGCACCCAUAUAAAUAUGGAUUUGGGUUCAUAUAUACACAAAGCGCAGUAGUUAUUGUGAAGAAAGAAAAAGAAUGCUCCUACUAUCAAAAAUAUGUGCCAACAACAACACCAUCUAUUAGAGCUCGAAAACAUGAACAGUGAAGGAACCUAUACCUGUUCAUGGAGCUGUGUAUGAACCUCCGUUUGCAUAUGUAGAGCUUCUGCCAAGUUCCUAAGAAAAGGAGAAGGGGACAGAUGUAAAUUUGUAAGGUCAUGGUAUUUACCAUGCAUACAUUCCAGUGUAAUAAUUCAAAGAUAUUACUUUUUUUUGAACGGAGCACUUCCACUGCUACCUAGUCGUACCUUCUUAAUGUCUGAGGGGCCCUUCUUGUCUGCAUACAGUAUGCAUCAAAAUUCUGUAUAAAAAAGGACUGCUCAUGAAUAGAAAGAUCAUUGCCGCAAUUUGGAAUGACAUGUUCUAGUAGGAAUCCUAUAGAUAUACAAUGAGAGGAUUAGUUUGGCAGAAUCAAUACAAUUAUUAGUAAAAAAAUAGAGUCUGUAACAAUACUAUAAAAGCGCUAGUCUCCAAAGUCCACCAUGCCGCAAAAACAUUUAUCACCCAUUUAAAUAUGGAUUUGGAUUCAUAUAUACACAAAGCGCAACAAUUAUUGUGAAGCAAGAAAAAGAAUUCUCCUACUAUCAGAAAUAUAUGCCGACAAGGCGACAACAACACCAUCCUAUUAGAGCUCGAAAAUAGGAACAUAGAAGGCAACUAUAGCUGUUCAUGGAGCUGUGUAUGAACCUCCAUUCGCAUAUGUAGAGCUUCUGCCAAGUUCCUGAGAAAAGGAGAAGGGGACAGAUGUAAAUUUGCAAGGUCAUGGUAUUUAUCAUGCAUACAUUCUAGUGUAAUAAUUCAGAGACAUUACUUGUUUCUGAAUGGAGCACUUCCAUUGCUACCUAGUUGUAACUUCUUAAUGUUCGAGGAGGCCUUCUUUUCUGCAUAGAGUAUGCAUCAAAAUUCAGUAUAAAAAGGACUACUCAUGAGUAGAAAGAUCUUUGUCGCAAUUCGGAAUGACAUGUUCUAGUAGGAAUCCUAUAUAUACAAAGAGAGUAUUAGUUCAGCAGAAUCAAUAUGACUAUGCAACAAACUAUCAACCAGUGUACUAUAUCUCAAGAAUUUAUAGUGUAGCCACCAAACAAAGUGGUAAUCAAGGCAACAUCAAUCUAACAACAAUGGCUGACCAAUGAUGUUUUAUUCCUUCUGGUUUACUAAUUCAGAGGAACUGUAACAAAAAUCGCUCUUUGGUCAAUAUCAUCAACUGAUUCUUUGAACUCUAAAUUCCACUCUUAGCUAAAAUUAUUCUUCCUCUCUUCUAUGUCAGAUCUGCACACAUCAAGUUUAAAAAUCCAUAUAAUAGCAAAUUAAAAUAUGUGUGAGGAAGAAAUUAAGAUAGGGGGAGUGGAGCACCUAGUUCUCCGCCGGCUUGUAUUGCUCGAGCCGCCUGCAACAGGCACAUGUUGUCCUCCUUAUACUCCAGAUCCACGAGGCAGCCAUGGGAGGAGGGAUGAUCUCCUAGUUCCUCUCGCCUGCCCACACCGCCUGUUCACCUCGAGCUCCUUCACCCAUGGAAUAGCAUUCCUUCACUCAUGGUCAUACAUCUGGUUUGUAUCUCCACAAAACAAAUGGCAACUUGGUGAAGAUUUACAAUAUAAAGGCAUCAGAUGUCGGUGCAGGAAGCCUAUUAGAAUCAUAAAUUAUGUGAGUAUUGUAGGGCAUAUAGAAACUUCAUUCUGGCCCGCACAGUAACAACUCUAUCACACAACUUGUUUUUUAUGGAUUCAGUAAAAAGAUUACGGGAGAACUUAUUUUACAAAGCAGGAGAUCAUAAUAAUAGUGGUCAUUGACGAAACAUGUUAGAUAAUAACGAGAAUAAACGAGACAGGGAGACACGGAUUUUUACGUGGAAACCCUUGCGGGAGAAAACCACGAACGCACGAAGGCGCAAUCACUAUGAGGAGGAGUAUUACAAGCACGAGACGACAGACCGUCUGAGAUGCGACUACAUGGGGUAUAUAUGAGGGACACCACAUAGGAGUCCUUGUAGGACAAGUAAACGAGUUGUACUCGUACGCGUCGGUACCAAUGCAAAAGGCCCACACUGUAUGUACUACGUCUAGUCCAAUACGGUACUAGAAUUUGGAUCACAAUUUAACAAUCUCCACCUUGAGCCAAAUUCCCUCCAGUAGUCGAAGAAAGUGAAUAACUCCAUCCAAAUCAUCUUAAACACCUUGUGCGUCAAAGUCCAUAGGACUAGUGAGAAAUACCAACUAAGGCUGAGCAAAGCUCAAACUUAUUGGUCAGAACUAGCUUUGUCAUCAUAUCAGUAGGAUUAUCAUGAGUACUUAUCUUGCAUACCUUCAAAUCACCUUCAGCAACAACAUCUCGAAUAUAGUGAUAUAUGACAUCAAUGUGCUUUGUUCUCUCAUGAUACAUUGGAUUCUUUGUAAGAUAUAUAGCACUUUGACUGUCACUAAAUAUGGUAGGGCAAGAUGAGUCUCCACAAAGCUCAGUGCAUAAACCUCUCAACCAGAUAGCUUCUUUGCAUGCCUCAGAAAUAGCCAUAUACUCGGCAUAAGUAGUGGAACAAGCCACAAUAGAAUGCAAAGUUGCUCUCCAACUCACAGCACAACCACCAAUGGUGAAAACAUAACCUGUGAGUGAUCUUCUCUUAUCCAAAUCACCAGCAAAAUCAGAAUCAACAAAACCAACAAGUCCAUCUCUAGAUUUCCCAAACUGUAAAUAAGCAUUAGAAGUACCACGCAGGUAUAUGAAAAUCCACUGAACUGCUCUCCAAUGUUCUUUUCCAGGAUUAGCCAUGUAUCUACUGACAACACUCAAUGCAUAUGAUAAAUCCGGACGAGAACAAACCAUGGCAUACAUAAGUGAACCAACUGCACUCGAAUAGGGAACUCUAGACAUGUACUCAAUAUCUGCAUCUGACUUAGGACAUAAAGCUGAUGAUAAUUUGAAGUGUGCAGCUAACAGAGUACUCACCGGCUUGGCAUUAUGCAUAUUAAAAUGACGAAGAACUUUAUCAAUAUAUCCCUUCUGACUGAGAUACACUUUUCCAGAUUGUCUAUCUCUGGAUAUUUCCAUGCCAACUAUUUUCUUUGCUACACCCAAAUCCUUUAUCUCAAAUUCAUUACUCAAUUGCUUCUUUAGUUCAUCAAUAUCUUACAUACUCUUUGCAGCAAUUUGCAUAUCAUCAACAUAAAGGAGCAAAUAAAUAGUUGAACCUUUGACAGUUUUCAAAUAAACACAACUAUCAUAAUUAGACCUUUUGAAACCUUGAGAGAUCAUAAAGGUUUCAAAUCUCUUGUACCAUUGUCUCGGGGAUUGCUUCAAUCCAUAAAGAGAUUUCUUUAACUUACAGACAAACUUUUCUUUUCCAGGAAUAACAAAACCUUCAGGUUGUUCCAUAUAAAUAUCCUCUUCUAAUUCUCCAUGUAAGAAUGCAGUUUUAACAUCCAAUUGUUCAAGCUCAAGAUCAUGCAUGGCAACAAUACUGAGUAAAGUGCGAAUAGAGCUAUGCUUCACAACAGGAGAAAAGGCUUCGUUAUAGUCAAUACCUGGAAUCUGACUGUAACCUUUAGCAACUAACCUUGCUUUAUAUCUUGUCACAUCAUUAGGAGAAACACCUUCUUUCCUCUUGAAAACCCACUUGCAACGAAUAGGUUUCUUCUCUCUAGGUAAUCUUACUAAAUCCCAAGUGCCAUUCUUUUCAAGUGAUUCCAUCUCAUCAUGCAUAGCGGUCAUCCACUUAUUACCAUCAGUAGAAAUAAUAGCCUCGGAAUAUGAAGAAGGCUCAGCAUUACCUUCAAUUUCUUCUGCAACAGAUAAAGCAAAAGAAACAAUAUUGCACUCCUCAAUUAACCUGUCAGGUUUGUUAGUACCCCGCCUAACUCUGUCACGUGCAAGAUUCCAACUGGGUGGAACAAUAGGCUGAUUUGGAGUGGGAGUGACAUGAUCAUCAUUAACGACGGGUUCAUCAUGUGCAUCAACAAUUUCAUUAUGAGAUGUAUCAUCUGAAUCAAUAACAUGCUCCACCUGAACAGUAGGCUCCUGAACAAUAGGCUGUUGUUCACUCUCAACGGGAACAUUAGUAGAUGAAACAUCAUGUAACAUAGCAGAUUCAUUAAAGAUAACAUUUCUGCUAAUAACAACCUUCUGGGUUUCAGGAUUCCAUAAUUUAAAACCUUUAACACCAGACUUAUAACCAAGAAAGAUGCACUUAACAGCCCUAGGCUCCAAUUUUCCAUUAUCAACAUGGGCAUAAGCAGUGCAACCAAAAACUCUCAACUGUGAAUAAUCAGCAGGUGAACCAGACCAUACCUCAAUUGGAGUUUUCUUAUUAAGAGUAAUAGAUGGUGAACGAUUAAUGAGAUAACAAGCAGUGGAAGCGGCCUCAUCCCAAAAACGCCUAUGCAAACCUGCAUUGGACAACAUGCAACGGGCUCUGGAAAUAAUUGUCCUGUUCAUACGCUCAGCAACACCGUUUUGUUGAGGAGUAUAAGGAACGGUGUAAUGUCUGACAAUGCCUUUAGACGUGCAAUAAUUCUUAAAUUGCUUAGAACAGAAUUCCAUACCAUUAUCAGUGCGAAGUAUCUUUACCUUCUUUUCAGUUUGUCUUUCAAUCAUAAUCUUCCACUCCUUAAAUGCUGAGAAUGCUUCAUAUUUAUGCUUCAAGAAAUAAGGCCAAACUUUUCUCGAAUAAUCAUCAAUAAUAGUCAGCAUGUAACUAGCACCACCUAGUGACUUCUUGCGAGAUGGUCCCCAUAAAUCAGAAUGCACAUAAUCAAGAAUACCUUCGGUUGUAUGAGUCGAAGUGUUGAACUUCACCCUCUUGUGCUUGCCGAAGAUACAAUGCUCAUAAAAUUUUAAUUUACCAGGUUCAUAUCCAUCAAGAAGACCUCUCUUAUUUAACUCUACCAAUCCAAGUUCACUCAUAUGUCCAAGACGCAUAUGCCAAAGGUUAGCAGCAUCACAAUCAGAAUUCUUUGAAAUAGCUGGAGUAGCGUUACCUGAAACGGUAGAACCUCGAAGGUAAUAAAGACCAUUGGUCGAACUUAAGUCACCUUUCAUCACAACAAGGGAGCCUUUGGUGACCUUCAAAACACUAUCUCCACCUGAAUACUUGUACCCCUUUGCAUCAAGGGCGCUAACAGAGAUAAGAUUUCUCUUCAUCUUCGGAAUGUACCGAACAUCUGUCAAAGUUCUGAUUAUGCCAUCAAACAUCUUGAUUCGAAUAGAACCUAUGCCUUCAAUCUUGCAUGGUGAAUUAUCAAAACCCAAAACGGAACCAGCAGAAGUAGUGGAAUCAAAAGUAUUAAACCAAUCUCUAUGUGGACACAUAUGAAAAGUACAUGUAGUAUCAAGUACCCACUCAUCAUUUGUCUUAGCACAUCCAUCAAUAACGACAAGAGCAUCAUCGGAACUAUCAUCCAGAGCAACGUUAGCAGAAUUUUCACCUUGUUUGUUACCUUUCCUCUUUUCUUUAUUCUGCAACUUGAAACACUCUGAGAUGUCAUGCCCGUCUCUCUUGCAAUACCUGCAAUAUUUCUUGUCUCUGGAUUGCGACCGGCCCCUGUAGCCGUUUUUACUUUUGCCUCUGUUUCCAUUAUUGGAGUUCUUCUCCUUUGUCCUGCCACGAACAGAUAAUCCCUCGGCUUGGGAUGAACUCGAACCAUCAUGAGGCACCAUUUAUUUCAUCUUCUCCUUAGAGUUCAAAGCUUCAUAAACUUCAUUAAGUGUGAGAGUAUCACGACUGUAUAAUAUGGUGUCUCUAAAAUUGGUAUAAGAACUUGGCAGUGAACAAAGUAACAUUAAAGAAGUAUCUUCCUCUUCAUACUUAACCUCCAUUGCAGCUAGAUCGGAUAUAAUCUCCUUAAAUUCUGAAAUAUGAUUCAAAACAUUACCUCCCUCGGGUAACCUGUGCAGGAAUAAUUUUUGCUUCAGAUGCAUCUUGCUGGUGAGAUCUUUAGUCAUGCAAAUCCCUUCCAGCUUUAACCAUAGAGCGGCGGCAGUUUUCUCACUCAAAACUUCCUGCAAAAUAUUAUUAUGCAAAUGGAGUUGAAUUUGUGACAAAGCCUUACAAUAAAUUCUUUUCUCCUCAGCAGUCCAGUCCUCAAUUCGGUUCUUCCCAAAACUAUCCAGUGCUACAUCAUAGUCGACCUGUGCCAACAACGCCCGCAUCUUGACUUGCCAUAGGGUAACCCUUAUGUCACGAUCCAGCAGCGGAAAAUCGUACUUCAUGGAUGCCAUAAGUAGAUAAAUCUGUGCACAAAGUAGUACAAGUCGAAAGAAAAAUUCUUGACAGAAUUUAAAUUACGCGGAGCAAAGAACUAGGAACAGUAGUACCUGGUAGCUCAGGUAAUUGAAGACCAAAAGCUUGAUUUGUAGCUUGACGUGACGAAUAGUACUAGUAGUCAAAUCACGUAGUGGAUCAGAUGUGAAUUAAACUACUGCUUUGCUUCUGACCGGCGAGCAGUAGUACUACUAGCUUUUGCUUCGGUUGAUGAUGUGAGAAGUCGAUUGAAUCUGGAGCUGCGUCAACUCGCCGGAUGACUCGGUACUUGUAGCCUGUACGAAGAUCAGCAGCCUCGGGUGCUAGCGACGACCGGUCAAAUCGACUUUGUGUCAAUCUCGGUUACGACCGCGCACACGAGGAAAAUCCUGUCGGUCUCGGUCAUGGAAAUCGAUCUAACGGAUCGACGAAUUGUCAGAGACGUAUGCGGCGGCGCAAACGAUGUAACCCUAAUCUCUCGUCUCAAAUCUCGUAUCUGAAACUUGGCUCUGUAUACCACCUGUUAGAUAAUAACGAGAAUAAACGAGACAGAGAGACACGGAUUUUUACGUGGAAAUCCUUGCGGGAGAAAACCACGGACGCACGAAGGCGCAAUCACUAUGAGGAGGAGUAUUACAAGCACGAGAUGACAGACCGUCUGAGGUGCGACUACAUGGGGUAUAUAUGAGGGACAACACAUAGGAGUCCUUGUAGGACAAGUAAACGAGUUGUACUCAUACAUGUCGGUACCAACGCAAAAGGCCCACAUCGUAUGUACUACGUCUAGUCCAAUACAGUACUAGAAUUUGGAUCACAAUUUAACAGAACAAGAUUUAUUGCCUCAACCAGUGUAUUGUGAUGACCAACACCUAAAUAACUUGUCGAUGUUCCCGAGUUACAUAUGCUCUAAUAACCCUAUGAUACCCGAUUCAUGGUUUCAAAUAACAGAUGUUCCAUCAAUCGUGGUACAAAAUACAAAAUAUAUCAACCCGUCAACCAGUGAAUAUAAUAUUCUCCCAGAAAAUAAAAUAGUUGUAGAAGCAAGGUGUAAUUUAAAUCUUUACCAAUAAGGCAAUACAAGUUACAGGCCAAACAGAGCAUAAAAGGUUCGAACUAGAGCAAGCAGGAGAACUCGACAUCUUUGACCUGAACAUCAUAAAUCACAAAUCCAGAAUAAAUGGUUAACCCAAAGUUUUUCUUCUCAUGACUCUGAAGGAGGUCCACGUGUUGUUAUCUACACAAUAAAAAUUACUGGCCCAAGCUUGAAGUCUAACCAGAAUAAUUUGCUAAUGGAAUUAAAUCAUAUCCGAUUCCUUUGAGGAUGAGAUGCAAAUGAAGGCUGACACAUGAUUGAUAAAUUCGUACAAAUAUUUUUAGUCCCGCGAAGUAAACAUGAUGAACUAAGGUUUAAUUAAUCAUGUAAUUAUAUAAGAAGAAUCAUUAUUAUUCAUUGUUCACUUUGAGUGCAUCAGAAUCAGCCAUACAGCAAACUGGAUGGUGAUUUGUCAAAUAAGAGCUUCUUGGGUAAAUAAGAUAGAACAACAUCCGCUUGAUACUUCUGUAAACUACACAUCAAUUUGACGGUCUGAUCUAUAAUGCUUCAUGAAACAAUCAAUCUAGAAGCUCAAAAUACCCCUGAAAACGCUAAGAAAAUCAGAAAGAAACAUCAUAGGUCUAUUUACUUACUCUGGUGAGAGGCCAUGUACAAAAGAAAUCACAAUUAGCAAGAAAGGAGCUUGCCAUCAGCUGCGAAGAAAAAACAUAAAAAAGUAAGUGUCUGUGUGGUCUUUAUGCCUUCGAGGAUUUCCUCAGCAUCCU